AGUCGAACGGUAACGCGGGGCAACCUGGCGACGAGUGGCGAACGGGUGAGUAAUGUAUCGGAACGUGCCCAGUAGUGGGGGAUAGCCCGGCGAAAGCCGGAUUAAUACCGCAUACGACCUACGGGUGAAAGCGGGGGAUCGCAAGACCUCGCGCUAUUGGAGCGGCCGAUAUCAGAUUAGGUAGUUGGUGGGGUAAAGGCCUACCAAGCCUACGAUCUGUAGCUGGUCUGAGAGGACGACCAGCCACACUGGGACUGAGACACGGCCCAGACUCCUACGGGAGGCAGCAGUGAGGAAUCUUCCGCAAUGGGGGAAACCCUGACGCAGCGACGCCGCGUGGGCGACGAAGGCCUUCGGGUCGUAAAGCCCUUUUAGCAGGGACGAGUGAGGACGGUACCUGCUGAAUAAGUCUCGGCUAACUACGUGCCAGCAGCCGCGGUAAAACGUAGGAGGCGAGCGUUAUCCGGAUUCACUGGGCGUAAAGCGCGCGUAGGCGGUUAGGUAAGUCGGACGUUAAAGCCCCUGGCUCAACUGGGGGAGGUCGUUCGAUACUGCUUGGCUUGAGGGUGAGAGGGGAGAGUGGAAUUCCCGGUGUAGCGGUGGAAUGCGUAGAGAUCGGGAGGAACACCAGUGGCGAAGGCGGCUCUCUGGCUCACUUCUGACGCUGAUAGCGCGACAGCGUGGGGAGCAAACGGGAUUAGAUACCCCGGUAGUCCACGCUACAAACGAUGAGG
rnacentral:rRNA from 1 species